AGAACUGGUGAGUUUGUUCUUUUUUUCCAGUAUGCUAGUGAAAUGAGAGUAAUUUCCUCAAUAUUUCUCUGCUGUGGCUCUUUCCUCCUGCAAUAGCAGCAAGGUGCUUAAUCACUAUUUAUGUUUCCUUCUUUUGAAACAGGUAAUAAAGUGUUGCCUUGCUAGGCGAAUGUUUGAGAAUGAUGAAUUCAGUAGUACACGAGAAGAGGUCAGAUGCUGCACUGAGUAUCUUCUGUGGGCAAGGAAAUGCUGAACUUCAGCUCAGUAUAUCACUGCUGAAGCUGUGCCUGGCCAUGGGAGAUGACAAGCAGCUGCUACCAGCCAAGCUUUAAAUCAAGAGAGAAGAAUCUUUUCCAUUACAUUCCAGUGAAUUGUGAAAGAUGGAAAUCGAAUCACUGCUUGGAAAGCUGUACUUCUACAAGGAGCUAUGUGAAGGUAGGUCCAUUGCCUAUUACACAUGUAGACAGAAUUCUCUUUUUUCCUGAGUAAGAAGCAAUUUCUUUGCUGACCCAUUUUAUCUUGUUCAGUCCUACUGAUUCGCACUACAAUGAAGUACUUGGGACACUUAUUUUGAGCCUACUACUACAGUCUCACAAAGGUGAGAAGUACUUCUACAGGGGCAUCACGUGAGGGGUGAACUUCAGGUGUCAGAACUGCCACAAAGUGAAUGACCACCAGCUGCUAACUGUGUGCCCGGCCAGGAGCCAGCAGAUAUUAACCACACAUUUAGUUUACAGUCCUAGCUAUAAAAUUAGGAUUUUGGUCAUUGAUUUUACUGAACUAAAGCUGAACAUUGUAUUUAUCACACCUACCUCCUAGCCAUCAGUCAAGUGUAGGAAAUAAAAGCGAUUUAUACAGAAUGCUCAGCUGAAUGUUCUUCUGUUCUCCCACAGUUUGAUGGAACUCUUGUGUGUUUGGGUGCGUCCCCCCUUGGCAGCUUCACCUGCUCAGCUCAGGUGAAAGGGAAGUAUAGAAAAAGACUUGUUGCUGAGCAUGAUAGAAAAAUCUCAGGGUGUGCAUGUUCACGAUGUUGCUACAAUGUAUGGAUUCCUCUGGAAAAAGACUUUGCUGGAUUUGUAUAAGGAGCAGAAGUAAAUGUAGCAGUUAAUGGGGGAAAGUUUGCUUGCAAAACAAACUGGAAAUUGAUAGUUGUUUUAAAUCUCUGUGAAUUCCUCCUUUAAAAAGCUGCAUCAAACUUCCACAUCCCAGGGCACAAUACAGUAGCUCAUGAUCCUCUGCUGUUUUGCUUGAUGCAAAAGAGUGCAUGUGUAUCCUUUAUUGUAGCCAUUUAGUUAAUAAAAAAAUAACAGUCCUUUUAGUGAGAUGAAUCAUUUCGGCACCUAUAUAUUUGACAUUGGGAGAAUCCAUUUACAGAUGGCUUAUACCACCUUUAUUGGUAAGAUUCAUCUGGGAUGCACUUUACAUUUCCUCACAUUAAGCUUCUUUCUUUGCUGUAGUGAUCUCUUGGUGUGGGGUGCAGACUUUGCAUCUGUGGCUGUUUUGCCAUCUGCUAAUGAUUGCCCAGGCAGGAGGUGGCCUUAUUUCAAGGCUUGAUCUGAGCUGCCCCACAACUUCUUGGCCACUUAGCAAGAUGUUUGGUAUAGGGAACUGCAGAAACCUUUCACUUAGCCCUAGGUUUUGCAGCUGUGAUUUACUUAGAGAUUUCUACCCUCCCUUUCGAUUCAGCUGAGUUUGGGCAAGCAGCUCAAAUAUUAUUAGGAGUGCCUUUUAGGCAGUCACAGUGCAACCAUGCAAACUCAUGCCCUUAAAAAACCACAUCUGGAAGUUUCCCAUUUCAGUUACAGGGUAAGAACAUAAUAGGAUCUUCUCACAACAGCCAAAGGUAGUAGGGCAUUCUGUGGAAGCAAAAUUAGAAACGCUGCCUCUAUCUCUGUCCUCCACUGCUGUCCUAGGAGCAGCCUGAAACCUGACAUAAUUUGGUAAUUUCAUUCUUACAACUUCAGCUACCCUUAAUGACCUUUAAAAUUGAUUUGCUUCAUUUGCUUUGGUUUUAAGAGAUUACACUUAAGUAAUGCUCUGCUGCAUUUAAUGUUUUGUUGUAUUCUAAUUUACUGUGUGAUGACUCUCUAUAUUAAAUAAUAGUAACAACUUCUGAAUUUAUUAAUCAACAAGAGAUGACAGAGAAUUCACAUUAAGCUCUCUAUAUAUUUUGAAUCGUUUAUCUCCCAGGUAACAUAAGAAAACUGUUAAAUCAUACUGAACCACAUUCCUCAGCUGAUGUAAAUCAGCUAAUAUACAGCAGCUGAAUUUCUUGCCCAUUAUGUUUUCCAUAAAAGAUGUCUUUGCCUUCAGAGCAUCAAUUAUCCAUGAUUCUUCUACUUUUCUUGUUUUCUGCCUUCGCAGGUGCUGCUAAUUCCCCUAUUUUCUUCCAGAAAUGGGAAAAAUGAUCUAUAUUAGGAAAUGUGUUCUUCCUUUCUUCAGUAAGCUGCAUUUUCAUUUUUGGUAUCCAUAUUUAAAUCCUGAUAUACAUACACAUAUGAACGAUAUGAGUUUUACUGCUGACAGUUUUAAAUCCUACCAUGUAUCAGCUGCAUAGACAAUUUAACCCCUCCUGAGCUUCACCAGAAGACAAUACAUUUUUUUGCAGAAGAAGAGAAAGGAAUGCAGUUUCUCACAGAGAUCUCCAUCAGGAAAUAAUCCCUAUCUUCAAGUCCUACCAUCCAAAAUCAGUUAAUGCUGAUAGUGAAUGAUGCACUUAGCCUGGAUGCUAGAGGUGGGUGAAAGAAAACCUUGGAGUAGCUCAUCCCACUGUCUCCUGGCACUGACAGAUGCACCAAAAGCUCCCACCAAAAGGGACAUGGUUGCAGAGGCUCUUUUCUCCACUUGCUGAUGCUCUCUGUGGAGCGAAGCCUGUGGUAUCUGGGUAUAUCUUUUCCUUGCCUCCCUUUUGUAGAUUGGGCAUUUGAGGCGGGAGCAAAGUGAAACUCAUCCCGUGCCCUGCUGGAAUUCACCACUGGUGACUUGUGCGUAGCAGCGCUAGGAAAAAUAUUUCUCCAGUGGUUAACUUGAGUUUGACUUCCAACAUCUCUUUAUUUGGCAAGAAAUGAAUUCAGCGGUUCUUUUUAGUGCUUGUGAAAAUGAAGGAUAGUUGUGCCUGCACUGCAAGAAAGGUGAUUUAGUCUCUGUACUUGAUCAGUAUUUUUUUGAGGGAGACUUGCCAAAUUCAUCAGUGCUGAUCUGGAAGCCAAAAUAGAUAUCCAUGUGUUCAGAAGAGGAGAAAUGCUGAAAUGCAGCUGGAAAGCAGCUCAAGGCUCCUGCCAGUUGUACUGGCUCACAACUAAGAGGUGAGUGAUGCUACAGCAAGUGUGCAGUCCAGCAAGGUUGUGUGAUGGUGGCAUUUGGGCUGACCUGAUCUUUUGGAGUUGAAUUCUAGCCUCAGAACUGUGUACAGAAUAAAAUGCAAUUUAGAGGGCAGCAGGGCUGCUUUUCCUGAAUGUUCAAAUCCCUCCUGACAGCUACAGGAAGCAGGAAUUUCUGCACAGCCUCCUCUACUAAUACAAUUGCAUUUUCAACA